rnacentral:rRNA from 1 species
AUUGAACGCUGGCGGCAUGCUUUACACAUGCAAGUCGAACGGUAACAGGUUAAGCUGACGAGUGGCGAACGGGUGAGUAAUGCAUCGGAACGUGCCCGAUCGUGGGGGAUAACGCAGCGAAAGCUGCGCUAAUACCGCAUACGAUCUGAGGAUGAAAGCGGGGGACCGUAAGGCCUCGCGCGAUCGGAGCGGCCGAUGUCAGAUUAGGUAGUUGGUGGGGUAAAGCCUCACCAAGCCGACGAUCUGUAGCUGGUCUGAGAGGACGACCAGCCAAAAUGGGACUGAGACACGGCCCAGAGUCCUACGGGAGGCAGCAGUGGGGAAUUUUGGAGAAUGGGCGAAAGCCUGAUCCAGCAAUGCCGCGUGCAGGAAGAAGGCCUUCGGGUUGUAAAAUGCUUUUGUACGGAGCGAAAGGGCUCUCUCUAAUACAGGGGGCUCAUGACGGUACCGUAAGAAUAAGCACCGGCUAACUACGUGCCAGCCGCCGCGGUAA